rnacentral:rRNA from 1 species
ACGCUGGCGGCAGGCCUAACACAUGCAAGUCGAGCGGUAGAGAGAAGCUUGCUUCUCUUGAGAGCGGCGGACGGGUGAGUAAUGCCUAGGAAUCUGCCUGGUAGUGGGGGAUAACGUUCGGAAACGGACGCUAAUACCGCAUACGUCCUACGGGAGAAAGCAGGGGACCUUCGGGCCUUGCGCUAUCAGAUGAGCCUAGGUCGGAUUAGCUAGUUGGUGAGGUAAUGGCUCACCAAGGCGACGAUCCGUAACUGGUCUGAGAGGAUGAUCAGUCACACUGGAACUGAGACACGGUCCAGACUCCUACGGGAGGCAGCAGUGGGGAAUAUUGGACAAUGGGCGAAAGCCUGAUCCAGCCAUGCCGCGUGUGUGAAGAAGGUCUUCGGAUUGUAAAGCACUUUAAGUUGGGAGGAAGGGCAGUUACCUAAUACGUGAUUGUUUUGACGUUACCGACAGAAUAAGCACCGGCUAACUCUGUGCCAGCAGCCGCGGUAAUACAGAGGGUGCAAGCGUUAAUCGGAAUUACUGGGCGUAAAGCGCGCGUAGGUGGUUUGCUAAGUUGGAUGUGAAAUCCCCGGGCUCAACCUGGGAACUGCAUUCAAAACUGACUGACUAGAGUAUGGUAGAGGGUGGUGGAAUUUCCUGUGUAGCGGUGAAAUGCGUAGAUAUAGGAAGGAACACCA